CACUCUUGCCUUAGAAGAAGGAAAGAAAAUAACAGGCAGGUUCUCUUACAUCGACCACCUAAAAGUCGCACUGUAAGAAGCAACAACCUCUCCUCCUUGUCUCCACCAUCUGCUCAGCAGCCGCGAAGCAGCAAUCAUGCGUGAGUGCAUCUCCAUCACAUUGGCCAGGCUGAUGUCCAGGUUGGCAAUGCCUGCUGGGAGGCCUACUGCCUGGAACAUGGCAUCCAGCCCAACGGCCAGAUGCCAAGUGACAAGACCACUCGGGGAGGAGAUGACUCCUUCAACAGCUUCUUCAGUGAGACGGGCUCCGGCAAGCCCGUGCCCAGGGCAGUGUUUCUAGAUCUGGAACCCAUGGUAAUUGAUGAUGAAGUUUGCACUGGCACCUGCCACCAGCUCUCCCACCCUGAGCAGCUCAUCACAGGCAAGGAAGAUGCUGCCAGUAACUAUGCCAUUGGCCAGGAGAUCACUGACCUCGUUUUGGACCAAAUUUGUAAACUGGCUGACCAGUGCAUGGUUCUCCAGGGCUUCUUGGUUUUCCACAGCUCUGGUGAAGGAAUUGUUUCUGGGUUCACCUCCCUGCUCAUGGAACAACUCCCAGUUGAUGAUGGCAAGAAGUCCAAGCUGGAGUUCUCCAUUAACUCAGCACCCCAGGUUUCCACAGCUGUAGUUGAGUCCUACAACUCCAUCCUCACCACCCAGUGA